GGGAGAGAGGAGAGACCCUGGACCUCUCUUUAACCUCAGCCUUCCUCACUAUUAUCUCACUCUCAUUCUCACUGACAGGAAUUGGUGUCACCUGCAUGCUCAGCUGAAGAAGAUAAAUUAGAAAACAUAUUUACGCAGGAGAGUUUUGGUACCUGGUGUUGGUGAAGACGUGAUGUUCAGAAGGUCUGAUAAAGUCAUGCAUUUAAUUUAAUUUAAUUUCAUUUAAUUGAGGGUUUGUAGCGAGGGCUACCAAGCGGUUUGACCAAUCAUAAU